GUACUCGCUUCGUCGGUACAUAUACGAAAACUGGAACGAUAAAGAGAAGAUUAGCAUUGUCCCUGCGCAAGGACGACACGCUUAAGCAUGAAGCGUCCCGUAUUAAG